rnacentral:rRNA from 1 species
AGACAUCGCGAGCCGUUCGGCGUCGACGUAAGCGCCGCCCGGGAGCCCCUCGGCACAUCGCUGCCGCGGGACCGCGGCGGACGCCGGCCGGCCGCCGGACGGUAUAAUAUGCGAAACGCGCACGCGCUUCAGGCGCGUCCGGCCCGACGCAAGGUCGUGUCGUAUCCGGAGUCCUGCCCGAGUGCGGUCUCCGGUGCGGCGCGCCUGAUCGUCGCAGCCGUGCUGUCUCGGACCGUGCGCGUCUCGGUCGGCGAUGAUUAUGUUUCGGGCACUCGCAGGACCCGUCUUGAAACACGGACCAAGGAGUCUAGCAUGUGUGCGAGUCAUUGAGAUUUAUAAAACUUAAAGGCGCAACGAAAGUGAAGGUGCGCCCUCGCGGUGCGCUCUGGGAGGAUGGAGGUCGAUUUCGUGUCGGCCUCCCGCACUCCCGAGGCGUCUCGUUCGCAAUCUGUCGAUGCAGGCGCGCUCAGAGCACAAAUGCUGGGACCCGAAAGAUGGUGAACUAUGCCUGGUCAGGUCGAAGUCAGGGGAAACCCUGAUGGAGGACCGUAGCGAUUCUGACGUGCAAAUCGAUCGUCGGAACUGGGUAUAGGGGCGAAAGACUAAUCGAACCAUC